UUAACUGUUUAGAUCAUAGACUUUUGAUCUGAUAAUAUCAAUAAAAUAAAAUGUUUUCAAAAAACAAAAAACAAAAACAUAACCAUAAAAUGGAGUUAUGGACUGAUUAUUGUCAGUUGUUUCCUUUCCCCUGUCUUUAUGCAUUGAUCAAUGCAAAAUCAUCUCUUAUACAAUGAGGCAACAUUGGAUGUUUGUGUCAUAUCUUCCAGAAGCAAAACCAAAAUUUAAUUUGAAACACUAGUGGAAUAAGCUGAGAUUUUAUAGGCACUUGCUUUUGUAAGGAAUAUGUGAACAUUAUUUCUUUCUUUUUUUCCAUGUGUUUAUGACAGGACGAUGACAUGUUUUCAUUGUUUGAAGCAGGAUGAUUUCAUCUUGCUAAUUUCCUUCCAGAGCAAACAGUUGUUAAAUUGAAACCAAGAGAAUUUCUAUUGGUAAAAUUUACCACUUAUUCGGUUUGUCUUACCAAUGUCAUAUGCUUUCUAUAAGGAAUCUAUUAACACCUAACUUCAUACUUCUUUUUGCAUGUCUUUAUUAGGAUUAUGGACUUUUUCUGAUAGUUUGAGAGAGAACAUACGGAUUUCAACAUGCCGAUGCCAUUGUGAAGUAGAGUACUAGAAUCGGUGGAUCGGAGGCUUUACUCUCAACAGUCUCAUCACUAUCUAUGUUACAGUUUGAUGGCAAUUCUAUGUGAGAGUUAAAUUUUGCUUUGAGUGUUCAAAUUCAAUAAAGACUAGCUGAUGAAAAUAAUUGAACAGCUUGACCUUUGGUUUCUUUUUAAGUAAAAUGACUGCAUAACAUGCAACUCUUUCACCUUCUUUUCUCAAGAAGUGAGCCUUGGUCUAGUGAUCUUGAAUUCAAGGUUAAUUGGCUUUUCAUUUAUUGCUAUGUUAUAUAUGAGGAAUGUGCUUUGUAUAGAAUCCUCAAUAUUUUUGCAUUGUUCUAACAUUUAAGAUUUUUCUUUUCCAUAGAAAAAGAAAAGAUGCCAAUGACUUGCCUGCCAACUCCCUUCCGGCCAUUUAUGAAAUGCAGGUAUUCUCAAAGCAUUGUCUAUUGCAUACAUGAUUCUAUAGGUUAAAGUUUCUUUAGUUUUUGUUCUUACUUUUUUGCAUAUCUUUAUCCUCAAUGCUUCUUCAUAACAAUGGGUUUUUUGACUAGUUAGCUAUGAAUGGAGUCAACCAACAAUUGCUAAGUAGUGGCUCGAGUGAUUGGGAGAACUGCCUGGAGAGCUGAGCUGGUUGGAAAACCCCUUUGCUUCUUUCAAAAUCAAUGUCAAAGUUCCAUCUUGGCCAUUCUUGGAGGUCUUUGAGCAGUGGCUUCAAUUCUAGUCUUUAGGCCUUUACUUAAUUAACCCAAACUGUUAAGGAGACCUAACCACAAAGGUUCUUUCAUAAUGUAGAUGUGGAAAAGACUUUUAGGAUACUAUUAUGGGAUUUAAUAUUUGCUACGUUUGGGUGCUGCAACUAUUGUAACCUCCUGCAUCAUAGUAAAAUCUCUUUUACCUUCGACCGUGGAUGUAGGUUAUUAAGCCGAACCACGUAAUUUCUCAUGUGUUUUAUUAUUUUA
rnacentral:lncRNA from 1 species